rnacentral:rRNA from 1 species
UACGUAGGGUGCAAGCGUUUGUCCGGAAUUAUUGGGCGUAAAGAGCUCGUAGGCGGUUUGUCGCGUCUGCUGUGAAAACCCGAGGCUCAACCUCGGGCCUGCAGUGGGUACGGGCAGACUAGAGUGCGGUAGGGGAGAUUGGAAUUCCUGGUGUAGCGGUGGAAUGCGCAGAUAUCAGGAGGAACACCAAUGGCGAAGGCAGGAUCUCUGGGCCG